GCAGGCCGCGGCCGGGCGUUGGUGGCCCGGAGCCCUACGAGGGCCGCGGCACGUCCUGGCCCUCCGGAGCGGCUCCCGCUCCCCGCUCCCCGCAGAGCCGGUCCCAGCAGCCCUGGGGCAGAGUUACCCAACCCGUCUGCCCGCUCCCGCCGCUUUCCCAACCAGUCCGGAGCAGCUCCGGCUCUUCUUGCCUUCACCCUCUCAAGAGCCCUUUCUACGAGGCCAUUUACAUCAUUUUGGUGUUUUUGCUCAAGGAAUUGUAAUCCCGUUUCAAAGGAAAGAGGGAGAGAAGCAACCGAUGCCAGAGCCAAAUUCUCCGUGGGCAAAUUGAAAUUAAAGCAGCGUUUGAGCCUAAAAAUAGCUGGACACAUCUGUCCGCCUUCCCCAUCUGCCGCCGGCCUGGCUGGCUGAAGGAAGCGACUGUCUGCGCAAAAUGAGGGACCUGUCUCAUCACUCUGCCCUGUAAAAUCACUUUAUUCAGGGAAAAUAUUCCCCAAGAUUCCGCUGAUUUGCCAGAUAACCCCCUAGUCAAGAAAAGACAGGAGGAGUUGGACUCUGCCCAACCAGUUCCUAUAAAUACAGUAAUUUUUUUUAAUUUGAGAUUCUUCAGUUGGUUUUGGAAUUCCUUUCACGGAAUAAAGCUCCCAAUGGAAAUCUUUUCAAGGCAUCCCAGCUGCUUCCCAGCUCCACAUAGGCUUGUAAUAAUCUAUCGGCAUUUAAUGGCACGUUCCUUAGGAAGAGGAAGCGGCUGAUUGUAGGGAUUGGAGCUACAGGCAGCUCUAAUUUCUCUAAUGUGAUUCCUUAAGGACGAGUGGUGCAGUAAUAACAGCGUCGGAGCGGGAGGAAGAGCCGUGCCCCGUGGCCAGAGCAGGGACGGAGCACCCAGACCCCAAAAGCCCCCCGUGGAGCGCUGCUGAGGACCCCCAGGAGACCCCUGGGAACCCAGUGAGGGUCAUAACCCACUUCUAUACUGGGGAAACUGAGGCACGGGUGGGUACAGAGGAAUUGGGGACCAUCCAAGCACGGCGAAGCUGGGAUGACCCUGGAGCUGGAGCUGCUCCAGGAGAGGCGCGAACUCAUCUGGGAUCACCUGCCCCGUGAUUCAUCGCUCCAGCGCUGCUCCACAUAGUUUCCAAGGAGGUUUCAUUGGACACGGGCACACACAUCCCCAUGAACCCAUCGGCAUCAGCGUGACACCGGUGACCAGUUAUUGACUCUGCCCUGUCACCCAAAGCACCGGAAAACCUGGAACUCGGCUGGACCCAGCCCUUGCACAGGGCCGGGAAUAGAAAACCGGUCGGAGAACUUUUCUUUCUCCAGCAGCCGCAGAGCGAGCGCGUGACCUUGGGCUGAGCUGGGCUGAGCCUUUCCUCGGCUCUGCCGAGAGGGAGGGGGCUCGCCCAUCCCAAACUGCUCCGUGAAGGGACAGGGAGGAGAGGAUUGUGCCCUUCCUGCCUUGGGGAUGGUGGGAAUCCAUCCUUCACCCAUCCUACUUCUGCUCCUCUGCAGAUCUCACAGUGCUGGAGCGAUUUCCAGCCCAUCCUAAACCCCACCUGCACCCCCAGGUCACGGACCCCUCUCCCCAGAACAGCCAGAGGGGUUCCCCGGGGGUCGGCCUGGGUGUCCCUGGCUUCCCACCCCGCUGGCCAGGCUAAUCCCCACGGAACGGACGGAAAAAGGGAGAUUAAAUUAGAUUAGCUGGAGCCGCCUAA